GAUGAACGCUGGCGGCGUGCCUAAUACAUGCAAGUCGAGCGAACAGAUGAUGAGCUUGCUCCUCUGACGUUAGCGGCGGACGGGUGAGUAACACGUGGAUAACCUACCUAUAAGACUGGGAUAACUUCGGGAAACCGGAGCUAAUACCGGAUAAUAUAUUGAACCGCAUGGUUCAAUAGUGAAAGACGGUUUUGCUGUCACUUAUAGAUGGAUCCGCGCCGCAUUAGCUAGUUGGUAAGGUAACGGCUUACCAAGGCAACGAUGCGUAGCCGACCUGAGAGGGUGAGCGGCCACACUGGAACUGAGACACGGUCCAGACUCCUACGGGAGGCAGCAGUAGGGAAUCUUCCGCAAUGGGCGAAAGCCUGACGGAGCAACGCCGCGUGAGUGAUGAAGGUCUUCGGAUCGUAAAACUCUGUUAUUGGGGAAGAACAAAUGUGUAAGUAACUAUGCACGUCUUGACGGUACCUAAUCAGAAAGCCACGGCUAACUACGUG
rnacentral:rRNA from 1 species